rnacentral:rRNA from 1 species
UACGUAGGGUGCGAGCGUUAAUCGGAAUUAUUGGGCGUAAAGGGUGCGUAGGCGGAUGUAUAAGUUAGAUGUGAAAAGCCAGGGCUUAACCUUGGUCGUGCAUUUAAGACUGUAUGUCUAGAGUUUGUAAGAGGGGGGUAGAAUUCCAAGUGUAGCAGUGAAAUGCGUAGAGAUUUGGAGGAAUACCGAUGGCGAAGGCAGCCCCCUGGUAUAGAACUGACGCUGAGGCACGAAAGCGUGGGUAGCAAACAGG